UAAUCCUCGCCCAGAAGGUGUCAAAACCUUUGGAGGCGGACUUGGACCGUGCCGUGUUCGGCUCGUCCCGAAAAGCAUUAGCUCGCGCUGGUUAGAGUGCUUGCACGGUGUGAUAAUUAUCUGCGCCGGUUGGGCCUCUUCCGUGUGUGCGGCUUACAGUCGUCCCCCGCGGACAAACAAUCUUAAG
rnacentral:misc_RNA from 1 species